rnacentral:sRNA from 1 species
GUCCUUACUCGGUAACCGUAGGAACCUUGUGCAGAAUUGCUUUAAGACAGCAAGCAAGGGUACCGUCGCAUAAGUCCUCAUAUCAAGUCUGGUAGCGAUAGCUUCUAGAAAGGGUUUCCUUAAAUCGAGAGAGGCAAGGGUACUGGUGCUAAAAACACCAGUAGAGGUGAACGGUACAUGGACAGUUCCUAGGAUAAUGCACAUCACUCGUUUAGCGUAUAAUAGACACCUCUGUGAGGGAUAAGCCUUAACGGCGUUAGUGGGAGCUAACGUAGCGGAGGGUAACCCAACCAAGCGCUUUGCUGAGAAGGACACUAACCCUGUCUGAGAUAACGUGGUGAUGGUACAAGUAGCCCAAUUCAGCGCCUUAAAAAGCAAUCCGAUAUAAUAGGACAAUACUCUGAACGUCCGGGUGAAAGUUACUACUCAUUGAGGUAGGUUACGCAUGUAAUAGCAAAGGGAAGUAGGGGAGUAGCUCUUCCAUACUCAGACCCUUUGAGCGUAUAGCAUAAUGUCUGUAAGAAUUGAAAGUAGGGUUAAAACACCCUACGGUUACUGAGUAAG